GGCAGGAUGAGAAUUCUAAGGCGCUUGAGAGAACUCAGGAGAAGGAACUCGGCAAAUUGAUACCGUAACUUCGGGAGAAGGUAUGCCCUCUAAGGUUAAGGACUUGCUCCGUAAGCCCUGGAGGGUCGCAGAGAAUAGGUGGCUGCGACUGUUUAUUAAAAACACAGCACUCUGCUAACACGAAAGUGGACGUAUAGGGUGUGACGCCUGCCCGGUGCUGGAAGGUUAAUUGAAGAUGUGCAAGCAUCGGAUCGAAGCCCCAGUAAACGGCGGCCGUAACUAUAACGGUCCUAAGGUAGCGAAAUUCCUUGUCGGGUAAGUUCCGACCCGCACGAAUGGCGUAACGAUGGCCACACUGUCUCCUCCUGAGACUCAGCGAAGUUGAAGUGGUUGUGAAGAUGCAAUCUACCCGCUGCUAGACGGAAAGACCCCGUGAACCUUUACUGUAGCUUUGCAUUGGACUUUGAAGUCACUUGUGUAGGAUAGGUGGGAGGCUUUGAAGCAGAGACGCCAGUCUCUGUGGAGCCGUCCUUGAAAUACCACCCUGGUGUCUUUGAGGUUCUAACCCAGACCCGUAAUCCGGGUCGGGGACCGUGCAUGGUAGGCAGUUUGACUGGGGCGGUCUCCUCCCAAAGAGUAACGGAGGAGUUCGAAGGUUACCUAGGUCCGGUCGGAAAUCGGACUGAUAGUGCAAUGGCAAAAGGUAGCUUAACUGCGAGACCGACAAGUCGAGCAGGUGCGAAAGCAGGACAUAGUGAUCCGGUGGUUCUGUAUGGAAGGGCCAUCGCUCAACGGAUAAAAGGUACUCCGGGGAUAACAGGCUGAUUCCGCCCAAGAGUUCAUAUCGACGGCGGAGUUUGGCACCUCGAUGUCGGCUCAUCACAUCCUGGGGCUGUAGUCGGUCCCAAGGGUAUGGCUGUUCGCCAUUUAAAGUGGUACGUGAGCUGGGUUUAAAACGUCGUGAGACAGUUUGGUCCCUAUCUGCAGUGGGCGUUGGAAGUUUGACGGGGGCUGCUCCUAGUACGAGAGGACCGGAGUGGACGAACCUCUGGUGUACCGGUUGUAACGCCAGUUGCAUAGCCGGGUAGCUAAGUUCGGAAGAGAUAAGCGCUGAAAGCAUCUAAGCGCGAAACUCGCCUGAAGAUGAGACUUCCCUUGUGGUUUAACCACACUAAAGAGUCGUUCGAGACCAGGACGUUGAUAGGUGGGGUGUGGAAGCGCGGUAACGCGUGAAGCUAACCCAUACUAAUUGCUCGUGAGGCUUGACUCUAU
rnacentral:rRNA from 1 species